CCUCCAUGUUUUGCUGCAUUGUGUUAUCUAGACCGUGCACUCCCAGUUGUCGUGUGGUCAGGUGGGAUUGCAAAAAGUAAAAAAAAAAGCGUGAAACAAGCGCGCAUACAACACCAUACACCGCGUAUGAUGCCACGGACGAAGGACGACGUGGGAACGUAUUUCCAUUCGUCGGUGGAUUCACAUAACGUGUCAUCACAUAUUGAAACCGCUGUACUUCAGAAUACCUACGAUAAGCUCCUUGCACAUCAACGACACCUGUGCAGUGUUCCUGCUUCUGAGAGCGGAUGAUACAUUUGUGCAAUCAAAUGAAGGCGCUGCUUCCGUGCCGUGUUUUUACGACAGGUAUUACGUACCACGGAAGUAUACUCCAGGUGCUCUGUUCUGUGCCGAUGGGCCAAAGCCUGGCGGCUAAAACCGUAUCAUUCGUGGUGGAACCAAAUACCAACGUCGAUGCGGAACUCCACGAAAUACAGCUCUGCAGUCCUGCUCAGCACGACAUGAAUAAACAAUAAAUAUUGUUUUAACACGUC